GACGAACGCUGGCGGCGUGCUUAACACAUGCAAGUCGAACGGAAAGGCCUCUUUCGGGGGGUACUCGAGUGGCGAACGGGUGAGUAACACGUGAGUAACCUGCCCUUGACUUUGGGAUAACUUCAGGAAACUGGGGCUAAUACCGGAUAGGAGCUCCUGCUGCAUGGUGGGGGUUGGAAAGUUUCGGCGGUUGGGGAUGGACUCGCGGCUUAUCAGCUUGUUGGUGGGGUAGUGGCUUACCAAGGCUUUGACGGGUAGCCGGCCUGAGAGGGUGACCGGCCACAUUGGGACCGAGAUACGGCCCAGACUCCUACGGGAGGCAGCAGUGGGGAAUAUUGCACAAUGGGUGGAAGCCUGAUGCAGCAACGCCGUGUGCGGGAGGACGGCCUUCGGGUUGUAAACCGCUUUCGCUCAUGACGAAGCUUUGUGUGACGGUAGUGGGUAAAGAAGCACCGGCUAACUACGUG
rnacentral:rRNA from 1 species